ACAUACGACCAUAGCCGCCAGCAGAGCUUUGGAUCCCGUCUGAUCUCCGUUAAUAACCUGGUGAGCGCUGGAUUAGUAGUUGGGUCGGCGACGACCAGCGAAUACCUAGUGUUGUAUGUU
rnacentral:rRNA from 1 species